rnacentral:lncRNA from 1 species
GACGGAGGGAGUAAUUCGGAAGCAGAAUAAGAUAAGAUACAUCACGAACAUACACGACAGUACAGUAAUUUGGUCACCGACGACAGCCUUGAUGAGCUGUCAACCAGCAGUUUCUUGCGGGCCGGCCAACUUAUUGGGCCGUUAGCUGUCCAAACGUUGCUAUUCGCUGGAGAAGCGAAAUUAGUCCAUGCAUCCUACGUGGAGCCAUGUCGGAAGGAGGACCCACUUAUCGAGACGUUCAGGCUUUUUCCAACAAGGUCAACGGAAGCUCGCAAAGUGAUGUAUGACGAAAUUGACCAUGCACCGGAUUAAAUCCGAAUCUUUUAUUUACCUUAUGAAAAAGUCCAUUUAAAUCUGAUACUAAAUAUCAAUCGGGGUAUCCAAAACUAAUGGAGCUGACACCGAGAACUCACCUUCCAUCCAAUAUUUUUUUAUCCCGGUUACCUUUGGACACUACAAGAUUCCACCUCUAAUGCCAC